GCGUGGGACCAUAAGGCUGUAAACCUUAAUUAGUAUAAUUAUACCCACGUU
rnacentral:tRNA from 1 species